ACACGGCCGUAUUUGGAGGUCAAUUGGUUACCAUGAGUUUCGAGGUAGAUUAACUUUCUGUACGUGGUUAGUUUAUAGCAGAGUGUAUAAACACAGUAUUUCUAUGGCUCUGGUUUAUAGUAAGCAGGUUUUGGGUUAGCAAUUAUGCGAAAAGAGGUCAUAUACUAAUACGUUUAAUAUAAUAUAUAUUUGUUUGUUGAAUGUAUGUUUCAUCGUAAUAUGAUUGGUGCCAGUUGCUGUAAGUAACGUAAACGUGUUUUAUCUCAGAUACAUAUUAUUUAAACAAUUACUAUAAAAUGGUUCCCCCACCUUCGUACAAUGCCCACGAAACAUCAGCAUUCGCUGUUUUUGAGAAGCCAGUGCUAGUGAAGCCCCCAAGUCCUGUUUGUCGCCAACUAUUUGGUCUUUCAGAUCAAUUAGAGACGAGCAGACGACUUAAAGAGGUUUUGGAUUCUGAAGCUAAAAGAUUUCAGUUCGCCUGGAACUUCGACGUCCGUAAAGUUCCAGCUGCGGGAAAUCAGUCGCCGGAUCCCGGGGCAGCUGCACCGGGCAAACCGAAGCGUUUUGAGUGGAAGUUACAACAAAGAAGUGAAGUGCCCCACUUCUACACUCGACCCUUUGCAACCCACAGGUUGGCAAUGACGUCACCUCGUCUCGACCGUUCCCCGUUGAAAAAGAACCGCACCCAGAAAAGCCACCACGAUAGACACCUAACAAACACUUCCUCUCCGACGCCCCUUAGUCAACGAGAUGAAAACGUCUCCCGAUCGAUCAUAAAUCCAUCUAAACGACUUUGCACCCCCCUUUUUACGAGCCCACCUAAGCUAACCACCGAAGCGAAGCCAGACUUGACCAGAGUUCCUGCAAUGAGAAUUCCCCCGAUUACGCCAAGCGCCGACUCCAACAAGCCCACAUGGUUAGUGACGACAUGGAAAAGGCAACCGCAUCGGAGCCAGUCGGGUCCAUGGUCGCUUCCAACUCAUUGAAGCGGCCUGCCUCUCGAAAGUUGUUCAACCUGAGCACUCCAAGUCCAAAGCGAUCGCGAACUAGCAGCCGACAACCGAAAAUAACAGACGUGAUGCCACAACGAAAACUCCGUUCAACGUCGAACAACAAAAGCGAAGGCAAUAAAACUGUGAACCCCAUAAACUCUGCCUCUUUGCAAGCAGCCAAAGCAAGUAAUUGAUACGAAAAUAAAGUUGAUCCACACAAGAAUGAAACUAGAGAACUAUCCAAUCAUAUAAAGUUAAAGCUACCAAAGCAAGUUUACUGCCGACAAAACCCCAAUCAUGAAGCUGCUGCCGAUAUUCAUUAUUUUGCUGCUGUGUGCUUGCCGAUUAUCCUCGCUUAACCUGCUUUUCGUUUUCAACUAUAAUUACGUCAUACAAACUCAUAGUGACGUCACACAAAAAGUUUGCACCGAUUCUGUUCUAUUUUUCUAUAUUUUCCUUAUGCGUUUUCAAUAUUACGUUUCUUGUUUGAAAUUAAAUGGAUUUCAAUGAAA